AUGGGGGUGUCUCAGUGUGGAGAGAGUUUUAGAAAAGAACUUUUAUCGCCCGGCCCGCAUGGCACCAUGGGAAAGGUAGUUCGGCUCAACCCAGCGGCUGGACUACAACUCCCAGGAUGCCCCAGAAGGAGUGAGCGAGGUGGCUGCGGUGGCCUCCUCGGCCUCGAAGAUUUCCUCCUUGAUGUUUAUUUUACCCUGAUACCGCCUGAGUGCCAAAGUCCAUUGGGUGGACAACGUGAUUUUCAUCUGCCAAAUGCAGAAGAUUUGGAAGGCCGGCAGCUGACCUGAAGUGAAACCUGAGAACAGAUGGGGGAAUUCAGAGAGAGAAGUAGAACUUGAGUGCAGUGGAUGGUGUCAGGAUAAUGACUUCUGGUUUUGGAAGUGUUAAUGAGGUUGAGUUAAUAAGGGCACAGAGAGAGAAAAGAGACCUGUAGGAAUGAGAAUGGAAAAAAAAAUCUGAAUUCAGUAAAAAAGGAAAAAAGAG
rnacentral:lncRNA from 1 species